rnacentral:rRNA from 1 species
ACGCUCACACCUACGGGAGGCAGCAGUGGGGAAUAUUGCACAAUGGGGGAAACCCUGAUGCAGCAACGCCGCGUGAGUGAAGAAGUAUUUCGGUAUGUAAAGCUCUAUCAGCAGGGAAGAUAAUGACGGUACCUGACUAAGAAGCUCCGGCUAAAUACGUGCCCGCAGCCGCGGUAAUCUGAGCGGGCUGGCAAGGC